UGCAGCUGUUUAUUGUCCAUCCC
rnacentral:siRNA from 1 species